UCUUACCUGUCCCUCUUUCUCUGCCUCGAAUGUUUCUUUCUCCAUCUCUGCCCCGCUCCCUGUCCCUUUUCUCUUAUUCUCUCUGUCUUCCAUCUUCCCCCUAACUUUUUGUCUAUAUCUCCAUACUGCUGCCUGUCUCGCUAUAUCCCCUGUCCUGCUCCCUGGCCUUUUUUCUCAUCCUGCAGUCCGUCACUGUUUUUUCUUUCUCCAUCUCUUUAUCCUGACUCGUCUCUCUCUCUUUUUUCCCCUCAAUUCCUCUGGCUUGUUCCCUAUCUUUUUCUCUCCCUCCUGCUUCUUUAUUCCUCUCAUUCAGUUUCUCUCCCUAUCCAUCUGUUCUGCUCCCAGCUCAUCAUUUUCUCUCUCUUUCCCUCUGUCCUACUCCUGUGCAUAGUGCGCAAGGCUACAUGUCUAGGAAGCUUCGUCUCAUAAGAGCUGUAAGACACCCACAUAUUCUCUUAGGUGGAGGACAGCCAGGCGACUGGAGUGAGAAGAGGAAGGGAGCAGAGCAGGAGGAAGAAGUGUCUGAACUGGCAAAUUCUCCUGGCACUGCCGAGAGCGAGAGUUGCGGGUCCUGCACCCUGCUCCUCAUUUUUGGUAGCCUCUGCCCAGCAUUCCAUUGCUCCAGGAGCUGACCAGCCGACUGUCCAUUCCCUGCCAGACCAACGAGCACGGCCCCAGGAAUGACUGCUGAGGUGUCCCAGGGGCAGGGGGAGUGUUGGAGGCUCCAAGUCCUGGAGCAGACUUGCUCCCAGGGCUUGUUACGUGUGUGACUGAAUAAACACUCGCCAUCUCCUUUGCCCAC